GUGAUUUUGGUGUCAGUAUGAACACCCAUCUGAAAACAGUGAAACUCACGUUGAAGGGGGAAAAUCCUGUAGCUUUGGAUCACCUUAGUGUGCGGGGUAACAAUAUUCGCUACUAUAUCCUGCCUGACAGCUUAAAUCUCGAAAAAUUGUUGGUUGAAGAGACUCCUAGGGUGAAACCUAAGAAGCCAACAGCUGGGAGGCCUUUGGGACAUGGUCGGGGUUGUGGCCGUUAAAUAUGAUGCCUUGUAUUUUUGAGAUGGCUGGAUGCCGAGACAGCGUUGUUGUUGGGGCAAUUUGUGGGUAAUCUUACGAAUACUGAAGGAAUUGUAUCGGUAUUUAGAUAUUGUGUGCGAGUUUUAGUCUGGUUUGGAUUGAUCAUGAAAACGUGAGAUUCGUGGCAUGUUGAUUUGAUCAAAUGCUAAUAACUGAGCCGAUAAUCUAAUUUUGGAAUCAUUUUCCU